rnacentral:rRNA from 1 species
UGGGGAAUAUUGGACAAUGGGCGAAAGCCUGAUCCAGCCAUGCCGCGUGAGUGAUGAAGGCCCUAGGGUUGUAAAGCUCUUUUGUGCGGGAAGAUAAUGACGGUACCGCAAGAAUAAGCCCCGGCUAACUUCGUGCCAGCAGCCGCGGUAAUACGAAGGGGGCUAGCGUUGCUCGGAAUCACUGGGCGUAAAGGGUGCGUAGGCGGGUUUCUAAGUCAGAGGUGAAAGCCUGGAGCUCAACUCCAGAACUGCCUUUGAUACUGGAAGGCUUGAGUUCGGGAGAGNUGAGUGGAACUGCGAGUGUAGAGGUGAAAUUCGUAGAUAUUCGCAAGAACACCAGUGGCGAAGGCGGCUCACUGGCCCGAUACUGACGCUGAGGCACGAAAGCGUGGGGAGCAAACA